rnacentral:lncRNA from 1 species
UUAUUAAUAGUUUCAUUGUUAAAAUAGACGUCUUUUCUGAUAAUAUAAUGAACUAUAACUCUAAAGUUUACUUUACAUUAAAAAGUGUUUGGUAUAUUAAGCAUGAACUGUAAACCAGAUUAUUUGUUCUAAGUUCCCGUAUCAAAUAUGCAUAAACAAAAAAACAGAAUAAAGUCGCUCACAUAAACUAUAUUUAACGUU